rnacentral:lncRNA from 1 species
GUUCUAUAUUGGGACAUGUUCGAGAUUGUCGAGAGAUUCUGUUACGUAUAGUGAAAUAGUAUGAUAAGAAAAUAUUAUAUUUGUUUCGAUACGUAAUGUCACGUUUCGUGUAUAUCGUAAUGAGUAUAUAUUUUUAUCGAAAACACAAAAGUAUAUUUCUAUAUGUUUUUCGUCCCAACUUUAGUUUUUGUAUUCUCGUCAGAUCGGACUCAGUACCAAAUGAGC